CCUACGGGCGCAGCAGUGGGGAAUAUUGCACAAUGGGGGAAACCCUGAUGCAGCAACGCCGCGUGAGUGAAGAAGUAUUUCGGUAUGUAAAGCUCUAUCAGCAGGGAAGAAGAUGACGGUACCUGAUUAAGAAGCCCCGGCUAACUACGUGCCAGCAGCCGCGGUAAUACGUAGGGGGCAAGCGUUAUCCGGAUUUACUGGGUGUAAAGGGAGCGUAGACGGCAUAGCAAGUCUGAAGUGAAAGCCCGUGGCUUAACCGCGGAACGGCCUUGGAAACUGUGGAACUGGAGUGCUGGAGAGGCAAG
rnacentral:rRNA from 1 species